GAACGCUGGCGGCAUGCCUUACACAUGCAAGUCGAACGGCAGCACGGGAGCAAUCCUGGUGGCGAGUGGCGAACGGGUGAGUAAUAUAUCGGAACGUGCCCAGUCGUGGGGGAUAACGUAGCGAAAGCUACGCUAAUACCGCAUACGAUCUAUGGAUGAAAGCGGGGGAUCGCAAGACCUCGCGCGAUUGGAGCGGCCGAUAUCAGAUUAGGUAGUUGGUGAGGUAAAGGCUCACCAAGCCGACGAUCUGUAGCUGGUCUGAGAGGACGACCAGCCACACUGGGACUGAGACACGGCCCAGACUCCUACGGGAGGCAGCAGUGGGGAAUUUGGACAAUGGGCGCAAGCCUGAUCCAGCAAUGCCGCGUGCAGGAUGAAGGCCUUCGGGUUGUAAACUGCUUUGUACGGAACGAAACGGUGAGCUCUAAUACAGUUUGCUAAUGACGGUACCGUAAGAAUAAGCACCGGCUAACUACGUG
rnacentral:rRNA from 1 species